AACCCCAAAACAUCGAUGAUCUGGAGUGUGGAGAGACAGCUGGGAAAAGGGAAAGAGGGAGAGGAUGGUAAACUGAGGCCCUUAGUCCCAAUGGCAAUGACAGUCAAAAAAUAAAGAUGAUGGAGCAGCAAUCAUGAGAUGGAUGAGGACCGCCUCAUGAAUUCAGGUGGUUCACAGUCAUUGAAUGUUCUGGGUACUUGUUGGCAGGAGGCACUUCCUACAGUGAUGCUUCUUCUCUGAAGACAUGACCACCAACAGGAGGAUUGAGCCAUGCAUGCCUGGCUGGCCAAAAGAUAGGUAUUUCUUUUGUGGAAGAAGAAAGAAAUAAUUGUCCUAAACCUGAUAUUUAUGACUUUGCACAUUGAGAAACUAUUAGAAAUGAUCCUGUCAGAGGGGUGGAGCCACGAUGGCGGAGUAAAAGCAGUGACUUGCUUGAGCUCUCCCCCA